GAACAGAUCCCUGUAUCUUGUGUCCCUGCAUCCUUGGCUUGAUGGCUGACAGACACCUGGAGACUUGUUCCCAGAGCUUCUCCUUAAUGGUAUGGAACACAAUUUUGCAUUCUGACUUUGGCUUCUACCCCCAACUUUAUCAACAACUUCC
rnacentral:lncRNA from 1 species